UACGUAGGGUGCAAGCGUUGUCCGGAAUUAUUGGGCGUAAAGAGCUCGUAGGCGGUUCGUCGCGUCGGCUGUGAAAACCUGAGGCUCAACCUCAGGCCUGCAGUCGAUACGGGCGGACUUGAGUACUGCAGGGGAGACUGGAAUUCCUGGUGUAGCGGUGAAAUGCGCAGAUAUCAGGAGGAACACCGGUGGCGAAGGCGGGUCUCUGGGAAGUAACUGACGCUGAGAAGCGAAAGCAUGGGUAGCAAACAGG
rnacentral:rRNA from 1 species